rnacentral:rRNA from 1 species
GGGCGACUGCGCAAGACGGGAACCCUGAGCAGCGACGCCGCGUGCGGGAUGAAGGCCUUCGGGUUGUAAACCGCUUUUGAUUGGGAGCAAGCUUUUGGGGGAAUGGACCUUUUGGAUAAGCGCCGGGUUACUUCCUGCCCACCGCCGGGGGAAUUCC